AACGAACGCUGGCGGCAGGCCUAACACAUGCAAGUCGAGCGAGGACUUCGGUCCUAGCGGCGGACGGGUGAGUAACGCGUGGGAACGUGCCCUUUGCUUCGGAAUAGCCCUGGGAAACUGGGAGUAAUACCGGAUGAGCCCUUUGGGGGAAAGAUUUAUCGGCGAAGGAUCGGCCCGCGUUGGAUUAGGUAGUUGGUGGGGUAAUGGCCUACCAAGCCGACGAUCCAUAGCUGGUUUGAGAGGAUGAUCAGCCACACUGGGACUGAGACACGGCCCAGACUCCUACGGGAGGCAGCAGUGGGGAAUCUUAGACAAUGGGGGAAACCCUGAUCUAGCCAUGCCGCGUGAGCGAUGAAGGCCUUAGGGUUGUAAAGCUCUUUCAGCUGGGAAGAUAAUGACGGUACCAGCAGAAGAAGCCCCGGCUAACUCCG
rnacentral:rRNA from 1 species